rnacentral:rRNA from 1 species
GUCCACGCCCUAAACGAUGUCAACUGGUUGUUGGGUCUUCACUGACUCAGUAACGAAGCUAACGCGUGAAGUUGACCGCCUGGGGAGUACGGCCGCAAGGUUGAAACUCAAAGGAAUUGACGGGUACCCGCACAAGCGGUGGAUGAUGUUGUUUAAUUCGAUGCAACGCGAAAACCUUACCCACCUUUGACAUGUACGGAAUUCGCCAGAGAUGGCUUAGUGCUCGAAAGAGAACCGUAACACAGGUGCUGCAUGGCUGUCGU